rnacentral:rRNA from 1 species
AGGACGAACGCUGGCGGCGUGCUUAACACAUGCAAGUCGAGCGGAAAGGCCCUUCGGGGUACUCGAGCGGCGAACGGGUGAGUAACACGUGAGUAAUCUGCCCCUAGCUCUGGGAUAGCUCCGGGAAAACCGGGAUUAAUACCAGAUACGACCACUUUAGACAUCUGUUGUGGUGGAAAGAAUUUUGGCUAGGGAUGAGCUCGCGGCCUAUCAGCUUGUUGGUGAGGUAACGGCUCACCAAGGCGACGACGGGUAGCCGGCCUGAGAGGGCGACCGGCCACACUGGGACUGAGACACGGCCCAGACUCCUACGGGAGGCAGCAGUGGGGAAUAUUGCGCAAUGGGCGAAAGCCUGACGCAGCGACGCCGCGUGGGGGAUGAAGGCCUUCGGGUUGUAAACCCUUUCAGCAGGGACGAAGCGAAAGUGACGGUACCUGCAGAAGAAGCGCCGGCUAACUACGUGCCAGCAGCCGC